ensembl:lincRNA
AUGGAACUUAUUCCCACAACACAUGAUCUGCAAAAUAAGGUUUGGCCAACUAAGACUUCUUUGCAGUUGCUGAAAGAAGAGCAAAGGACAUACUUCUUUAUGGCCAUAUUUGUUUAAGAAAAAGAGAAAAUAAAAUAAGCUAAAUACAGGUUAAGGAUCUGCCUUUGGCUCAGGUCUUGAUCUCAGGGUCCUGGGAUUGGGUUGCACAUUGGACUCUCUGCUCAGCAGGGAGUCUGCUUCUGUCUCUCCCUGACUUGCACUCUCUCAAUCCUCUCUUUCCGUCUCAAAUAAAUAAAUCAUCUUUAAAAAAAAAAAAAAAAGGAGGAAGGAAGAAAAGAAGAAAAGAGAGAAAGAAAGAAAAAGAAAAUAAGCCAAAUAGCUUCAGUUACACAUUGGAUUGCAUCUCAGAAAACUAAAGCCAAAGCAGGGAGACUAAUCCUGGUUGGGAUCUCCAUGGUUGUGAGCCCUAAAUGCUCAAAUUUUCAGCAACUGUUAUUGCCAUUCAUUGUGCCAGCCACAGGUAAUUUACAUAAUACAAUAAUAGUAGGUAUGGCUUCCAUUUAAAAUGGUUAUUGAGGAAGAUAAAUUAAUGGAUAUAUAAAAGCAUAGAUCAAUAGAUAGGUUGCAUAUGUAAUAGUAAAGAUGUCCUUCAGUUUUAUUUAAGCACAAAAGGUUUUUGGAGGAGGUAUUGCUGUGGGGAACAGUGUAGUUCUUGCUGUGUUCUAGAACCUAUAUGUGUGAAAGACAGAACAUGAAUGCAUAACUAUAGUAAUAAGAUGGGUCAGAAAUCUAUCAUAGAGAUUCAGACGAUAACUUCUUAGAAGGGGUUCAAAAGUGGAGAGGGAAGAAAAUUUUGGUGGUAAACUGUAAGAAAAUGUUAGUGAUUUUAUUUGUAAUAAGAGUUAAAUUCUAUUUUGAUGAUUGACUCUAAACAGCUUUUAGACCUCACGUUUGCCUCUUCUUGUGCCCCACACCUGGGCAAAGAGAUAAGGAACCCCAAGUGUUUCCCUUCAGCACUUGCAGGAGAUUCAAACCACCCAAUUUCCUGCCUUUCUAUGGGAGUCCUCACCCAGGCCCACCCCUGACCACAACAAAAACCCCAGCCCUGGAUGCUUUCCUUGCUUUCUCAAGCUGUUGUGGAACUUCUUGAGACUGCUCUGCUCAUCUCUGAGACCUCAAAUAACUAAAAGGAGAAAUAAGAACCAUAUCAUUAUAUCCAGAAGACAUUGGAUAUUUCCACAAUUAAUAAAAAAGACAAUUUCAGGAUCACUGAUUUCUAUUUCCAGCAGUACAGUUGUUAGCUCCCAAAACUCUCGCAUAAUCUCCUUCCUUAGGAUAACUAACACACAAAAAAAACAUGGGUUGAUUUGUAAAGAAGAGCACAGGAAGUCUCAGAUGUGACAGAGACUGACAGACCACAUAGGAAAAUCUCAGUUCCCAGUUUCCUGCAGUGCAGCAGGAGCUAGGUGACUAAGUCUGCAUACACCUUAAAACCCCUGCACAGACUGUCAUUUGGAGUGACCUCAAGGCAGUGGACUCUGUGAAAAACUGCGACAAAGCUCAGAUGGAUAGACAGUCACAAGCUGGAAAGAGCUUGGAUGCUCAAAUCACCAUGUAGAAAAGCCCCCAAAAGCAAUAUACAUCAGACUGUGAUAUGGACAAAAACAACAACUACCAAAAACCUACAUACUGUGUUCAGCCACCGAGGUAGAGGACUGUUAAUUAUAAUAGCUCGGAGCAAAUAUUCUAACAUGCUGAAUAAAUCAACUUUUACAGGAAUCAAUUAUAAUGUAUAUGUGUGAUUAUACCAUCUCUUAAAAGGAUAUUGUUCAAAUAUAAUCAUAAUACUUAUUGGGGGGAGCAAAGAAUUUAAAAGACAUAAGUGCAACCAGAAAUCAUUAAUGUUUAUAAUAAGCAUGUUCUCUUUGAAGUCACAACAAUAGCAUCAAAAACACGUGUGUACAUAAAAAAAAUCUUUCCUAAUAGAUGGAUACACAGACUACUAGACAGGAAAUACAGCAGGUUUUAUGAGAGCGGGUACCCAGACCAUGCUAUUUACUGUGGUAUCCUUAACAUUUAAUACGGCUCCAGCACAUCACAGGUGCUCUAAAACACUCGGAUAAACCACUGAAUAAAAGGAAUUGUGGGGAUCAUUUGCAUUACUGAUCUUUUUUGCCUGCUGUAUUAGACAACCAACAUUCAGCUGGGUUUACUAAAGAUAAGAUAAUUCAUUGCAGUAGGUUGAAAUCUACCCACAUUGAGGAUACAAAACAGGAAUAACCAAGUAAAACAAAAAUUUUCAAGGGUUAAAAACAAAACAAUGAGCCAAAAAACCCAAACUAAUAUUUUUUUUAUUCUCGUAGUGUAAAUGUUUUGUUUUCUAAAUUAACAAUCAUAUGUUAUAUAUCUAAACCUUUUAAGCUAUAGGAUUUUUAGAGAAACUACUGCUCUAUUACAGAAUUUU